rnacentral:tmRNA from 1 species
GGGGAUGUAUUUGGUUUCGACAGUAUCCUUGAAGUAUAAAUAGCGAGUAGUGGAUGGUUGCUUUGGCCACUAUAAAAAAGCAAAAUAAAAUAUAAACGCUGAUAAUAGAGAAUUAGCAUACGCUGCCUAAGUGCAGUGUCGUCUUACCUUUACCUCCCACAGUUUAGGAUAAGGCGUAAGAUAGUGGGAAACGAACCAAUUUGAGGUCAUGCAAAUUGCGGGUAUUUAUAUGGCUACCUAUUAGCUAACCUUGUUUGUUAAGUUACUAAUUAGGGAAUUUUAUUAACAAACUGCACUCGGAGAAUUUUAUAUGAAUAGAAUAUUGGACAGGAGUUCGACUCUCCUCAUCUCCACCA